CUAAUUCUUGCGUAUGUGUACACGUCUAUAGUAACAGGACCUGCGUGUGAUUUUUUGAAUUUAUAGAGCUCAAUUCUUUGCACCCUAAUUCCCCAGAACGCUAAAUUAAUGCUUUAUACGUCAUAAUUAGUAUACGCGCAGCAAUUAAUGACGUGCGCAAUAAUCUUUCUCGAAAAUAAUCCCGGCGCAUCGUUGUCGCGGUCGCCACCCGACGCGUCGUCGCAAUAUCGUCUUAUUCGAUAUGCAGAGCCGCAUUCACCACCGUGUGAUAGCCACUGAAUUACUACGUCCUGCGCACGUUCCGUCAUUCCUCGCUCUCUUGUAACCAGUAGGCGUGUCGAGGAUUGUAACAGUCGCGCGACUCGCGUGUAGGGUGUAAAUAGUGCUCGUAAGGGUGGAAGCCUUGGAAGAGACGUCUUGCGACAAGAUGAUCUUCUGGAUCAGACUUCUUCGCUUUUCCUAUGCCCGAGACAGAUACUAACGAUAUGGGUACAAUAUGGCUUCAGCACUUUGGCAUGUCUCUGGGAAUAACUUUCUUUCGUCAGUCUUCGUGUCACUCUUACUGUUUUAUCCACACAACUCCAAAGCCCGCGAGGUAAUUGACGCACCACUGCCACAACAAGACUAUGUUGCAUCACUACCACCUCCACCGGGAGGUGCUACCACUGCCAGAGUACCAAAGUGCGAUCAGAAGUUUGUAAGCACUCCUGAUGGACCGCUAAAUGGAACCUUUUACGCACCAACGCUCAUCAAUCCUGAAGGAGAUCCACGACAGUGUGUUUAUACGUUCCUCGCAGGACCGCAUCAACGUGUUGAAUUGAUUUUCACCUCGUUCGGCCUCCGAGGAAAACCACCAGAUGGAUCUGCUGUGGGAGAAUUACCCGCCUGUAUUCAUGAGUAUAUGGACAUAUACUCCGAGAUACGAUCGGAAAACACGACUAAGCUGAUAGAAACGCCAUUUGGUGGACGGUUUUGCGGACCAAUUCCACCUCGCAGACGGGUCUCUCUUUAUCAGGGAAUUGCUCUUAGUUUCUUUUCUGAUAAGAAUAUCACUCUACCGAACGUUUUCAGCGGUAUUUACAGAUUUAUUAAUGCUUCUGAGUAUAAAGUGGGCACGCCAGCACCAAAUACACCAUGCUCUUUCACGAUACACGCAGAAGCUAAACGUAGCGGAAAUAUAUUAUCUCCUACUUAUCCUGGCACUUAUCCGAAAAAUCUUACUUGUAAUUAUCAAUUUAUCGGGAAGAAAGGACAACGUGUGCGGUUGGAAUUUCGCGACUUCGAUUUAUUUUUUGGCGGGCUACAUUGCCCAUUGGAUUACGUAAAGGUAUAUGAUGGUCUUGACAAUUCUACUGCCGUUAUUGGCACGUAUUGCGGUCAGCAGCGAAAUUUAGUAUUGUACUCCUCAGAGAAUAGUUUGUUCGUGCUGUUUGUCACGUUGAAGCGCACAGCUAAUACUCAGAACCGAGGUUUUAAGGGUAUUUUUGAGUUCUCGGAGAGUUUUGUUAGCCUGGAUUUCAUAACGGAAUAUCACGGCGAGCAUAUCCGUGGAUCGGAGUGCGAUCAGAAAAUCCUCAGCAAGAAGGAGACAUCGGGAUUUGUAGUUAGUCCAAAUUUUCCAUAUCCUUAUAUACCUAAGGUUGUUUGCCGUUAUUUUAUCUAUGGGAUGCAGGAUUCGCAGCACUUGGAGCGCGUACGAUUGGAAUUUUUAAAAUUUAUGAUACAGAUGGCCAAAGGAGAAGCGGCAUGCACCGAUGGUUACCUGAAAUUAUACCUGAAAGGCCAAGAAGCGACAGAUUCUUACGACAAAUUCGAUUACGAGAUGUGCGGUAACAAGAGCAAUCCGAAUCACGUGGUUAGUGAUGGCCCGAGACUUGUGAUGGUGUUUAGUAGCGGAGAAUUGCAAGCGACAGGUUUCAAAGCCAAGUACACCUUCGAAACGGAAUAUAAGAUACCGGGCACUGCGGCGCCCGAUGGCAGUUGUACUUUCACUUAUUACAGUUCGUCUCGCAAACGUGGAGAAUUUAAUUCUCCACGAUAUCCUAGUAAUUAUCCAAGCAAUACGAAUUGUACAUACUUUUUCAUGGCAACGCCAAACGAGCAGAUUACUUUGAUUUUUGACGCCUUUAAGGUUCGUACGAAAAACGUCAACGUAACAGUCGGACAUUACGGACAUGAAUUAUGUCAGGAAGAUUGGCUUGAAAUUUAUAAUAUGUAUCGGGACGAAACGGAGAAAUUGAUAGGAAGAUAUUGCGGUGCAACUGCGCCGGGUCCGGUAGACUCGAAUCUCGGUGCUCUUGGCUUGAAAGUGAUUUUGCAUUCUGACUCCGAGCUUGUUUACAGCGGCUUCAAAGCGCGUUAUACUUUCGAAGUCGCUAAACCUAUUUUCGGAGAUUGUGGAUCAAAUAUUAGUAGCUUACAUUAUGGUAUAAUAACCAGUCCGAAUUUCCCUAAUAAAUACGAUGGGCCAGCAAGAAACUUAGCAAGCAAAACUUGCAAUUGGUUCAUAAAAGUUCAACCGAAUCACCAGAUACUUCUGAACUUCGAGAUCUUCUCUGUGGAAGGUGAUCAGAUAGCACGAGGUUGUCCCGCAGCCGUAUUACGUAUGUGGUAUUCAUUAAUGUCCACUCCACACGAGCUAUGUGGCGUUAGAACUAGUGACACAAAAUGGCAUUUUCUUUCGGAAGAUAAUAAUAUGCGGCUUAGUUUUAUAUCAGCUGAUAAAGCGGUAGGACAACAAGGCUUUCGGGCAGUAUGGACUGAAGUGAGCACGAAUAUAGACUGUCAAAAUCAAGAAUUUCAAUGCAGCAAAAAUAAAUAUUGCAUCGCUGAAUCGUUACGAUGCAAUAACUUUGAUAAUUGCGGGCCGGAUGAUGCGUCGGAUGAAGAGAAUUGUGCAGCAUCAGCCCCAUUGUCACCAGCACUGGCUGGGAUCUCUUCUGCCAUGCUUCUCUCUCUGUGCUUUGUAUUCGUGGCCGUCUGAGCCCCCUUCAUGAAGCUUCCAGAUGAUCCGGCAUGUUAUGAUCUCUCCCUUAUCACGCAUUGCGGCAAUACCAGCAGACAAUUACACGAAACCGAUAGCCUAUGCUGUUGGCAGCAUCCUAGUCAUCCUGAUGUUCUGUUUAGUCUGCCACCGGAAGCUACGACGACGAUCGCGUGGUGUGCCAAUCGAUGAACUGCCGCCGCAAUGUGUAAUCGAUGCCAUUG
rnacentral:misc_RNA from 1 species